CCAUAUCAAUUAAGCCGGAGGAAAAAGAAAACAAACAGGGAUUGCCCUAGUAAACGGGCGAGUGAAGCGGCAACAGCUCAAAUUUGAAAUCUGGGCUCUUUUAGAGUCCGAGUUGUAAAUUGCAGAGGGCGCUUUGGCUUUGGCAGCGGUCCAAGUUCCCUUGGAACAGGACGUCACAGAGGGUGAGAAUCCCGUACGUGGUCGCUAGCUAUUGCCGUGUAAAGCCCCUUCGACGAGUCGAGUUGUUUGGGAAUGCAGCUCUAAAUGGGAGGUAAAUUUCUUCUAAAGCUAAAUAUUGGCCAGAGACCGAUAGCGCACAAGUAGAGUGAUCGAAAGAUGAAAAGCACUUUGGAAAGAGAGUCAAACAGCACGUGAAAUUGUUGAAAGGGAAGCGCUUGCAGCCAGACUUGCUUGCAGUUGCUCAUCCGGGCUUUUGCCCGGUGCACUCUUCUGCAGGCAGGCCAGCAUCAGUUUGGGCGGUGGGAUAAAGGUCUCUGACACGUUCCUCUCUUCGGGGAGGCCAUAUAGGGGAGACGUCAUACCACCAGCCUGGACUGAGGUCCGCGCAUCUGCUAGGAUGCUGGCGUAAUGGCUGUAAGCGGCCCGUCUUGAAACACGGACCAAGGAGUCUAACAUCUAUGCGAGUGUUUGGGUGUCAAGCCCGAACGCGUAAUGAAAGUGAACGGAGGUGGGAACCCGCAAGGGCGCACCAUCGACCGAUCCUGAAGUUUACGGAAGGAUUUGAGUAAGAGCAUGGCUGUUGGGACCCGAAAGAUGGUGAACUAUGCUUGAAUAGGGUGAAGCCAGAGGAAACUCUGGUGGAGGCUCGCAGCGGUUCUGACGUGCAAAUCGAUCGUCAAAUUUGGGCAUAGGGCGAAAGACUAAUCGAACCAUCCUUAUUGGCCAC
rnacentral:rRNA from 1 species